rnacentral:rRNA from 1 species
GAUGAACGCUGGCGGCGUGCCUAAUACAUGCAAGUCGAGCGAACAGAUGAGGAGCUUGCUCCUCUGACGUUAGCGGCGGACGGGUGAGUAACACGUGGAUAACCUACCUAUAAGACUGGGAUAACUUCGGGAACCGGAGCUAAUACCGGAUAAUAUAUUGAACCGCAUGGUUCAAUAGUGAAAGACGGUUUUGCUGUCACUUAUAGAUGGAUCCGCGCCGCAUUAGCUAGUUGGUAAGGUAACGGCUUACCAAGGCAACGAUGCGUAGCCGACCUGAGAGGGUGAUCGGCCACACUGGAACUGAGACACGGUCCAGACUCCUACGGGAGGCAGCAGUAGGGAAUCUUCCGCAAUGGGCGAAAGCCUUACGGAGCAACGCCGCGUGAGUGAUGAAGGUCUUCGGAUCGUAAAACUCUGUUAUUAGGGAAGAACAAAUGUGUAAGUAACUAUGCACGUCUUGACGGUACCUAAUCAGAAAGCCACGGCUAACUACGUG